GAGUUGAGUCUUCUUGAAGUGCUAUAUGAUCAUGUCCUUGCUCAUUCCUUCCUAGAAGACAAUUAGACCUCAUGCUGAUCACAUCCAUCAUAGCACUUGUCGAAUUCCAACAGGUCAUAAAGGAGUCCCAGAGACAGAAUCCAGGGGAUAGGAAGCCUUACAUACAGACCAGGAGAUUCGGUGUUAAUCAAGGCCCUUCCAACUCACUCUUCCUCUUUGGAGAGGGUUGGGAGCGACAAUCUGCCAUGGAUUUUUCUGUUCCCAUUGUGGUAAAAGUUUCUGGAUUGGACUCCUGGAUCCACCUUUCCUGAUUGAAAACCUGGGAUCCUAAACCAACUUUAGAGUUGAUCCUGGAGGAUUACUUCAACACCUCCAUAGAAGAUGAGUAUUCCUUCUAAGUCACCAACGACGCUCUUUAUUCUGUCAUUAAGAGCACCUACAUCAGGAACAGAUAGAAGACCUGCAGGAAUGUGAGAGGCACAUGUGCAGGCUUUUCUGGCUGCAGCUGACUAAAGAGAAAGGAGAAAUGGAUUAACAAGUGCUUUCGUCGUGCCCAAGUUGACAGUUUUGGCAAGUAGGCCGUAUCUUCAAAGAAGGAUCAACAGAAGGUCAUAUGGGGAAAUGACCUUCAUUUCCACGUGGCUUACCUUUAGGAUGUACUUUCAACAACUGGUUGCAGUUUGACCCCUUGACUUUAAAGAAGUAACAGCUAAUUUUUCUUUGUCGCAUUACCUGAGUACUAUAUAAAUUAGAUGGCCAGGAAGUUUGUAGGAAAAUGGGACUUUAAAUUAUAAUAAUAUCUCCUUACAACUAGAUCUGUUCUGCAAUGAGCAUGGAAAAUGGACAGAAUCCCCUUAUGUAUAAGCCUUUAGUAUGUUCUCUUUCUCAAUUCAGUGUCUGACCAGAGACCUGUUGGCACUGAAAGUGAGGUGCCCUUCCCCAAUAAAAGAAAAUCAUGA